CAGUAGCCGCGGUAAUACGAAGGGGGCUAGCGUUGCUCGGAAUCACUGGGCGUAAAGGGUGCGUAGGCGGGUCUUUAAGUCAGGGGUGAAAUCCUGGAGCUCAACUCCUGAACUGCCUUUGAUACUGAAGAUCUUGAGUUCGGGAGAGGUGAGUGGAACUGCGAGUGUAGAGGUGAAAUUCGUAGAUAUUCGCAAGGACACCAGUGGCGAAGGCGGCUCACUGGCCCGAUACUGACGCUGAGGCACGAAAGCGUGGGGAGCAAACAGGAUUAGAUACCCGCGUAGUCCCUGUCUCUUAUAC
rnacentral:rRNA from 1 species